rnacentral:sRNA from 1 species
CAGCCUGGGGAUACAACGCUGGAGUCCUCUGAGAGAGCCACCAAGGAGGAGCAGGGGAGCGAAGGCCGGGGCAGAAGUUGAGACCACCCAGCAGAGGAGCUAGGCCAGUCCAUCUGCAUUUGUCAACCAAGAACUCUUACCAUGAAGACCCUCCUACUGUUGGCAGUGAUCAUGAUCUUUGGUAAGAGCUGACCCUGACCUCUGAGCAUGGGGGGACAGCCCCAGAAGGGAAGCACUCUUGUCCCUUAGUUUUCUCUCCCAUUGCAGCAAUCCUCUCUCAGGGGGAAAAAAGAAGCCAUUUGGGAGGAAGGAGAGUAGCAGAGAGGGGCAGAGAGGGAGGGUACAGAACCCCAUGCCCCAUCACCAGACAACUCCCAAAUUUCCUUCCAGGCCUACUGCAGGCCCAUGGGGAUUUGGUGAAUUUCCGGAAAAUGAUCAAGUUGACGACAGGAAAGGAAGCCUCACUCAGUUAUGCCUUCUACGGCUGCCACUGUGGCGUGGGUGGCAAAGGAUCCCCCAAGGAUGCAACGGAUCGGUGAGGCCACCCAUCCCUCCCUACCCUCCUAGACUCUGGCCCAGGCAGGGCUGGGAGCUGCAAAGACAGUGCCAGUUCCUGAUGGGCACAGAGGUCUCAGGAUGGCCUGGCUGGAAAAGCAGCCAGCAUGUUGGAACUUCUGCUCUAGACUGUUGCAAAGUCACUGGGUCUCUGCCCAGGGUCCAAGGGGGUGAGACCUCCAGGCCUCCUGGAGCUGUGGGACAACAGCCCCAGUAGGGUGUCUCCUUGCAGCUGCUGUGUCACUCAUGACUGUUGCUACAAACGUCUGGAGAAACGUGGGUGUGGCACCAAAUUUCUGAGCUACAAGUUUAGCAACAAGGGGAGCAGAAUCACCUGUGCAAAACAGGACUCCUGCAGAAGUCAACUGUGCGAGUGUGAUAAGGCUGCUGCCAACUGUUUUGCUAGAAACAAGACGACCUACAAUAAAAAGUACCAGUACUAUUCCAAUAAACACUGCAGAGGGAGCACCCCUCGUUGCUGAGUCCCCUCUUCCCCAGAAACCUUUCACCCAAUGCUGAAUUUCCCUCUCUCAUACCCUCCCUCCCUACCCUAACCAAGUUCCUUGGCAAUGCAGAAAGCAUCCCUCACCCAUCCUAGAGGCCAGUCAGGAGCCCUUCUAUACCCACCCAGAAUGAGACACCAAGCAGGAGAUUUCCAGCCUUCCACUGCUCUCCUCCACCUCAACUCUGUGCUUAACCAAAGAAGCUGUACUCCGAGGGGUCUCUUCUGAAUAAAGCAAUUAGCAAA